rnacentral:lncRNA from 1 species
CAAGCCCACAUCACUUAGUGCUACUUCGCCUCCAUCUUCGUUCUUCUGCUACCUCAACACCCAGCUCUGCUCCUACUCUUCCUCAGCUCCCUCCUACCAACGCCCGGUCGUGCUCCACUCCCAGCUAUGACGGCCACAUGAGCUCCACCCGCACCAACACGAGACGACGAAGCUGACGUCCCGUGCUCCGUAUACCUUCGUCUGCUCAUGAUUCGACCUCCUAUUACUCCACAACGACACCAACCCAUACUCCCUUCCCCUCCACAGCCAAGCAACCGCUGCAUCAGGCACGGGUACGCAUGCCGACUGCCUGAUCUGGUAUGGAUGCGCGCGGUAGCUCCUCCCACCCCUGAUCUUUCCUUGGCAAGCUCACAUCUCCACCUGGUCCGCAACAGGAGACGCCGCGCUGGGUGUUGUAGCUACGGAGGUCAUCGAUUGGUCGAAGGACGCCCAGUGGCAGUGGGAAGUGACCCGAGGCGAGGUGGAGUCAGCAAGGCGGCAGAGGUUGGGCCAAAAAUCUCUUUUCUAUGUUCUCCGCGUACACAAAACUGAUUAUCUCCUUCUCGUAUCCUGCAGUGGCGAGAUUCGGGAUCGAUGGAUCCGACUCCCGACGCUGCGAGCCCGUGUUGCCCAGAUCUUGACGACGGCGAGCCGAGGUUGCCUACGGGCGGCAGGCGGCGCUCCCGUGGCGAGGAUGGCGGGGCCUGGUCGGAUCCGGGCGGAUCUGGCCGGGAUGGAUCUAUUUCGGACGGAUUUGGCUUGGAGGCGGCCGGAUCUGGCGAGAUUGAGGGCCGAUGGCGCCAUGGUCCUCCUGGAGAUCCCUGCUCACCGAGAAAGAGAGACAGAGGUGAGAGGAGAUCAAGAUGAAGGAGGAGAUGGGCGAGGCGGCGGAGCGGCCGGAGCUCCGGCGGCGGGGCACGGUGGAGGUGUGGGGUCGCCGGCGAGGUGGCUUGCGGGUGCGAGGGGAGCUGGGCGAGGCGGCGGAGCGGCCGGAGCUCCGGCGGCGGGGCACGGUGGAGGUGUGGGGGCGCCGGCGAGGUGGCUUGCGGGUGCGAGGGGAGCUCGGGUAGGAGGAAGCUGCGGGAGGCGGAGCGGUCCAGUUCGGGCUGGAUUUCUAGGGUUAUUUAUGUAAAACUGAAAGUUUUCUUAGAAUCCACUAAAGAAAGGACUACGNN